rnacentral:misc_RNA from 1 species
CUUGAUAUCCACUGUGGAAUUCGCCCUUUGGCUACGCGAGCGCAUGAGCUGUUUUGGACCCGUGUCUGCCGGUAGGUCCCCCGUCUUCGUGCGGCCGACUACCGGCGCCGUGUCUUUUCAUUCGUGUGAGCUAUCUUACUGUUGCCUUUCAAGUGCUUGCGUGAUGUUACCCGACCUACGGGUAUUGGUGCUUCAUACACAGUUGCCUCGCAGUGGACGCCUUUGGGUGUGCUGCUGCGGCCAUAUGGCGCUUGCGGCGUUGCCUCUUGGUGCUGGCAUGUUUCGUGCCUGGUGCUAUCAAGGCAGCCUCGCUCCCGCUGUUGGUUUCGGAUGUUGCUCAUGAUAAAGGCUCGUGGCCCUUUUGGUUGCCUCGACCUGACCCUAAUAAUGCUCUCCGAAUUUGAGAACAACCGGAACAUGUGUUGCCUCUACCUCUCCACAGUUAGUGGUAGGAUUACGCAACAUACUGUGCCGAUCCUCAUACUAGUAGGACGAGCUAGGCCCGCUCAAUUGCGACAACCGGCCCGGCUGUUGCCUCGCCUUGCCACGCAAGUGGAUGGGUGGAUGACUACCGACGCUGGAUGUCAAAGAGGACGUGCUACCUGGUUGAUCCUGCCAGUAGUCAUAUGCUUGUCUAAGGACGAAUUCCACAUUGGGCUGCAGC